rnacentral:rRNA from 1 species
GAUGAACGCUGGCGGCGUGCCUAAUACAUGCAAGUCGAGCGAACGGACGAGAAGCUUGCUUCUCUGAUGUUAGCGGCGGACGGGUGAGUAACACGUGGAUAACCUACCUAUAAGACUGGGAUAACUUCGGGAAACCGUAGCUAAUACCGGAUAAUAUUUUGAACCGCAUGGUUCAAAAGUGAAAGACGGUCUUGCUGUCACUUAUAGAUGGAUCCGCGCUGCAUUAGCUAGUUGGUAAGGUAACGGCUUACCAAGGCAACGAUGCAUAGCCGACCUGAGAGGGUGAUCGGCCACACUGGAACUGAGACACGGUCCAGACUCCUACGGGAGGCAGCAGUAGGGGAUCUUCCGCAAUGGGCGAAAGCCUGACGGAGCAACGCCGCGUGAGUGAUGAAGGUCUUCGGAUCGUAAAACUCUGUUAUUAGGGAAGAACAUAUGUGUAAGUAACUGUGCACAUCUUGACGGUACCUAAUCAGAAAGCCACGGCUAACUACGUG